GAUGAACGCUAGCUACAGGCUUAACACAUGCAAGUCGCGGGGCAGCAUGGGGGUUGCUUGCAAUCCCCGAUGGCGACCGGCGCACGGGUGAGUAACGCGUAUCCAACCUGCCCUUCACCACGGGAUAACCCGGCGAAAGUCGGACUAAUACCGUAUGUUGUCCAUUGACGGCAUCCGAUUUGGACGAAAGGUUUGGCGGUGAGGGAUGGGGAUGCGUCCGAUUAGCUGGACGGCGGGGUGACGGCCCACCGUGGCGACGAUCGGUAGGGGUUCUGAGAGGAAGGUCCCCCACACUGGAACUGAGACACGGUCCAGACUCCUACGGGAGGCAGCAGUGAGGAAUAUUGGUCAAUGGGCGUAAGCCUGAACCAGCCAAGUAGCGUGCAGGAGGACGGCCCUAUGGGUUGUAAACUGCUUUUAUGCGGGGAUAAAGUGGCCCACGUGUGGGUUUUUGCAGGUACCGCAUGAAUAAGGACCGGCUAAUUCCGUG
rnacentral:rRNA from 1 species